rnacentral:rRNA from 1 species
AUUGAACGCUGGCGGCAGGCUUAACACAUGCAAGUCGAGCGAGCGGCGGACGGGUGAGUAAUGUCUGGGAAACUGCCUGAUGGAGGGGGAUAACUACUGGAAACGGUAGCUAAUACCGCAUACCAUCAGAUGUGCCCAGAUGGGAUUAGCUAGUAGGUGGGGUAAUGGCUAACCUAGGCGACGAUCGCUAGCUGGUCUGAGAGGAUGACCCACCACACGAGAACUGGGACACGGUCCAGACUCCUACGGGAGGCAGCAUGGGGGAAUAUUGCACAAUGGGCGCAAGCCUGAUGCAGCCAUGCCGCGUGUGUGAAGAAGGCCUUCGAGUUGUAAAGCACUUUCAGCGAGGAGGCGUGACUCGCAGAAGUAGCACCGGCUAACUCCGUGCCAGCAGCCGCGGUAAUAC